AGAGUUUGAUCCUGGCUCAGGAUGAACGCUAGCGGGAGGCUUAACACAUGCAAGUCGUGGGGCAGCAUUGGGUAGCAAUACUCAGAUGGCGACCGGCGCACGGGUGAGUAACGCGUAUGCAACCUGCCCUGUACCGGGGGAUAGCCCGGAGAAAUUCGGAUUAAUACCCCAUAAUGAUAUCAGGAGGCAUCUUUUGAUAUUUAAAGCUUCGGCGGUACGGGAUGGGCAUGCGUAACAUUAGCUAGUUGGUAAGGUAACGGCUUACCAAGGCUACGAUGUUUAGGGGUCCUGAGAGGGUGAUCCCCCACACUGGUACUGAGACACGGACCAGACUCCUACGGGAGGCAGCAGUGAGGAAUAUUGGUCAAUGGGCGCAAGCCUGAACCAGCCAUCCCGCGUGCAGGAAGAAGGCGCUAUGCGUUGUAAACUGCUUUUCCAGGGGAAGAAAAUGCCGUACGUGUACGGAACUGACGGUACCUUGGGAAUAAGCAUCGGCUAACUCCGUGCCAGCAGCCGCGGUAAUACGGAGGAUGCAAGCGUUAUCCGGAUUCAUUGGGUUUAAAGGGUGCGUAGGCGGACAAAUAAGUCAGUGGUGAAAACCUGCAGCUUAACUGUAGACGUGCCAUUGAUACUGUUAGUCUUGAGUGUGGUCAAGGUAGGCGGAAUGUGUAAUGUAGCGGUGAAAUGCUUAGAUAUUACACAGAACACCAAUUGCGAAGGCAGCUUACUGGGCCAUUACUGACGCUCAUGCACGAAAGCGUGGGGAGCAAACAGGAUUAGAUACCCUGGUAGUCCACGCCGUAAACGAUGAUCACUCGCUGUUAGCGAUACACAGUUAGCGGCUAAGCAAAAGCAUUAAGUGAUCCACCUGGGGAGUACGGCCGCAAGGCUGAAACUCAAAGGAAUUGACGG
rnacentral:rRNA from 1 species